UACAGAGGUCCCGAGCGUUUGUUCGGAUUCAUUGGGCGUAAAGGGUGCGUAGGCGGCUUCCUAAGUUUGAUGUGAAAUCCUGGGGCUCAACCCUGGAACUGCAUUGAAUACUGGGAGGCUAGAGUACUGGAGAGGAAACUGGAAUUUACGGUGUAGCAGUGAAAUGCGUAGAGAUCGUAAGGAAGACCAGUGGCGAAGGCGAGUUUCUGGACAGUUACUGACGUGAGGCACGAAGGCCAGGGGAGCAAACGGG
rnacentral:rRNA from 1 species